rnacentral:rRNA from 1 species
CCUACGGGAGGCAGCAGUAGGGAAUAUUGCUCAAUGGGGGAAACCCUGAAGCAGCAACGCCGCGUGGAGGAUGAAGGUUUUCGGAUUGUCAACUCCUUUUGUUAGAGAAGAUAAUGACGGUAUCUAACGAAUAAGCUCCGGCUAACUACGUGCCAGCAGCCGCGGUAAUACGUAGGGUGCAAGCGUUAUUCGGAGUCACUGCGCGUAAAGAGCGCGUAGGCGGGAUAGCAAGUCAGAUGUGAAAGCCGAUGGCUUAACCAUAGAACUGCAUUUGAAACUGGUUUUCUAGAGUAUGGGAGAGGUAGGUGGAAUUCUUGGUGUAGGGGUGAAAUGCGUAGAGAUCAAGAGGAACACUCAUUGCGAAGGCGACCUGCUAGAACAUAACUGACGCUGAGGCGCGAAAGCGUGGGGAGCAAACAGGAGUAGAUACCCUAGUAGUC